CCCAUUACUAAAGUUUCAACAAAUACUAAUUUUGAACCCAUAAUUUCAAAAACAUACCCCGUGUAAUCCCACAAAGGUAGAGUGCACACAUACCUUACCCCUACUUUGGGAGUUAGAGAGGCUGUUUCUGAUAAACCCUCGGCUAAAAGGGAAAAAAAGGACUGGAAAACUAAAAAUUGAGUAACUACAACAAAACAGUACGCUAAAUUAAUCGCAAAAGGACAACAAUUUUAAUGGUAAGAACUCAAAAGUUGAAUUCAUCAUAUUUAAAUCGCAGAUCGCCUUUGCAUACGCACAUCGAGACACAAAAGAAAUAAAGAUGGAUUGGGAAGAAAACAGUACACAAGAAGAGACUAAUAACCAUAGCUUUACAGCACUGUCUCCUAAGCUAAGUUGCUCAGACUCUCCAAAAUUGUUGCCGCACCUGUGUUGGAUCCUUCAAAAAUACACUAUUUUUGGAGGAUCCAACACGCAGCCGUAGACAUUUUUGAAGAGUCGGAGCAACAUAGGUCCUAACGGCAAAAAAACACCAUAAAAAUCAAAUCUUUUAAUAGCAUCAACCAAUAAAACUCCAACUUGACACAAAAAACUACUAAUACCAAUCAAUAGCUCUACGAAAACCAAACAAAGUCUUCCCCCAAUUAACUCACAUAGGAACACAAUCAAGACUACACAUUCAGCAUACACAAAUUCAGAGUCAAAGAAACAUAUCAACAUGAUAUCAAAUGAAGAAAGACCAAUAACCAUAGAUUUAAGUACCUUCCUAAAGCAUAAGUACACCAUAAAAAUCAAAUCAUUAAACAAUAUCAACCAAAUCCCAAAUUAACCAAACAUUUAUUACCAAAAAGAAAAACUAAUAAAACCAAUCAACAUCCAUAUGCAAACCAAAAAAAUAUUCCCUAAUAACUCAAAAAAGAAUACAAUCAAGACAACAUAAAAACUCAAGAACAAUAACCAUAGCUUUAAUUACUGUCCUAAUGCAUAAAACACCAUAAAAAUCAAAUCUUUAAGCCGUAUCAACCAAUAAAACUACAAAUUAACACAAUAAAUCUACUUAUGCAAAUCAAAAAGUACUUCCCAAUAACACAACUAAGUAUACACUCAAGACCAACCACCAUAGCUUUAAUUACUGUCCUAAUGCAUAAGUACACCAUAAAUAUCAAAUUCUUGAAACAGUAUCAACCAAAUUCCAAAUUAACCAACACUUAUUACCAAAAAAAAAAAAACUAGUAAAACCAAUCAACAUCCAUAUGCAAACCAAGAAAAUCUUUCCCAAUAACUCAAAAAAAGAACACAAUCAAGACUACAUAAAACCUCAAGAUCAAUAACCAUAGCUUAAAGUCCGACAUAAAAAUCAAAUCUUUAAACAGUAUCAAUCAAAUUCCAAAUUAGCCAAAAUUUAUGACAGAAAAAACUACUAAACCCAAUCAACAUCAUAUGCAAACCAUAAAAAGUCCUCCCCAAUAAACUCAAAAAAAUAAUACACUCAAGACUAUUAACCAUAGCAUUAAGAACACCAUAAAAAUCAAAUCUUUAAACAAUAUCAACCAAAUUCCACAACAACAUACCAAGUAUAUUGCCACCAAGUGGGGCUGGGAGGGUAAGUGUACUCAGUCCAUAUCACUGCCUCAGAGAGGUAAGAUAGAGAGGCUGUCUCCAAUAGACCCGACUCAAGAUAAAACAAUAAAAAAAAAAGAAAUAGUAAAAGUACAAGCUACAAUAGAAAUUCCCACAUCCAUAAUACCAUAAACAAGACAAUAUCAACCAAAAUUCCAAAUCAACCAAAACUAGUAAAACCAAUCAACAUCCAUAUGCAAACCAUAAAAAGUCCUCCCCAACAACUCAAAAAAGAGUACACUCAAAACUAAUUACCAUAGCAAUAAGUACACCAUAAAAAUCAAAUCUUUAAACAAUAUCAACCAAAACUACUAAAACCAAUCAACAUCCAUAUGCAAACCAUAAAAGGUCCUCCCCAAUAAACU
rnacentral:lncRNA from 1 species